GAUGAACGCUGGCGGCGUGCUUAACACAUGCAAGUCGAACGAAGCAUUUAGGACAGAUUACUUCGGUUUGAAGUUCUUUAUGACUGAGUGGCGGACGGUUGAGUAACGCGUGGGUAACCUGCCUUGUACUGGGGGAUAGCAGCUGGAAACGGCUGGUAAUACCGCAUAAGCGCACAAUGUUGCAUGACAUGGUGUGAAAAACUCCGGUGGUAUAAGAUGGACCCGCGUCUGAUUAGCUAGUUGGUGAGAUAACAGCCCACCAAGGCGACGAUCAGUAGCCGACCUGAGAGGGUGACCGGCCACAUUGGGACUGAGACACGGCCCAGACUCCUACGGGAGGCAGCAGUGGGAAAUAUUGCACAAUGGAGGAAACUCUGAUGCAGCGACGCCGCGUGAGUGAAGAAGUAAUUCGUUAUGUAAAGCUCUAUCAGCAGGGAAGAUAGUGACGGUACCUGACUAAGAAGCUCCGGCUAAAUACGUG
rnacentral:rRNA from 1 species